GUUGCCAGCGAUUAGGUCGGGAACUCAAAGGAGACUGCCAGUGAUAAACUGGAGGAAGGUGGGGAUGACGUCAAGUCAUCAUGGCCCUUACGACCAGGGCUACACACGUGCUACAAUGGCGCAUACAAAGAGAAGCGACCUCGCGAGAGCAAGCGGACCUCAUAAAGUGCGUCGUAGUCCGGAUUGGAGUCUGCAACUCGACUCCAUGAAGUCGGAAUCGCUAGUAAUCGUGGAUCAGAAUGCCACGGUGAAUACGUUCCCGGGCCUUGUACACACCGCCCGUCACACCAUGGGAGUGGGUUGCAAAAGAAGUAGGUAGCUUAACCUUCGGGAGGGCGCUUACCACUUUGUGAUUCAUGACUGGGGUGAAGUCGUAACAAGGUAACCGUAGGGGAACC
rnacentral:rRNA from 1 species